CCUACGGGAGGCAGCAGUGGGGAAUAUUGCACAAUGGGGGAAACCCUGAUGCAGCGACGCCGCGUGAGUGAAGAAGUAUUUCGGUACGUAAAGCUCUAUCAGCAGGGAAGAAAAUGAAGGUACCUGACUAAGAAGCCCCGGCUAACUACGUGCCAGAAGCCGCGGUAAUACGUAGGGGGCAAGGGUUAUCCGGAUUUACUGGGUGUAAAGGGAGCGUAGACGGCAGCGCAAGUCUGGAGUGAAAUCCCAUGGCUUAACCAUGGAACUGCUUUGGAAACUGUGCAGCUAGAGUGCAGGAGAGGUAAGCGGAAUUCCUAGUGUAGCGGUGAAAUGCGUAGAUAUUAGGAGGAACACCAGUGGCGAAGGCGGCUUACUGGACUGUAACUGACGUUGAGGCUCGAAAGCGUGGGGAGCAAACAGGAUUAGAUACCCCAGUAGUC
rnacentral:rRNA from 1 species